UGAACUGAGAAGCACCAGAGGAAAUUCCUCGCUGCAGAGAUGGGAAUACAACAACCACGCAAUCAGGGGCAUUUCAAUCACUUAGCGUGAAGCCAAAGACUUGCUGCGUAACCUUGGGUCGGUGGAUCAAAGCUGCUGCGUUUAUUUAGGAGCACUGAAAGAAGAGCCAAAAGAAGGAAGGAAUAAAUGGAAAGGAGCUCACUGAGUGCGUGUGCCUGGGAGGAAGGGAAUGGGAAACCAGCAGCUCACUGACCAGGGCGCAGCAGAAGGACAGGAGCUGACAUGAGGUGAGCAUUUCACUUUUGCUUUGAAGGAUUAAAGACUUUUAUAGGAUGGGCUCACGUUUGUACAAUGCUGCUGCAUCAGCCCCAUUUCUGAGAAGGGACAGGGGGAAUCACUGUGUGCAAAGACAAAUAAGCUCCUGUUGACAGCUGAACAAAGUCUGAUGGCAAAGGACUCGGAGCAGGUCUAAGCUGCCUGGCAGCAGCCUGGCAGGGACUGGCCAAAAGUGA